rnacentral:rRNA from 1 species
UUCGGAUGGAAUUUGAAAUGACUGAGCGGCGGACGGGUGAGUAACGCGUGGGUAACCUGCCUCAUACAGGGGGAUAACAGUUAGAAAUGACUGCUAAUACCGCAUAAGCACACAGUACCGCAUGGUACAGUGUGAAAAACUCCGGUGGUAUGAGAUGGACCCGCGUCUGAUUAGCUGGUUGGCGGGGUAACGGCCCACCAAGGCGACGAUCAGUAGCCGACCUGAGAGGGUGACCGGCCACAUUGGGACUGAGACACGGCCCAAACUCCUACGGGAGGCAGCAGUGGGGAAUAUUGCACAAUGGGGGAAACCCUGAUGCAGCAACGCCGCGUGAGUGAAGAAGUAUUUCGGUAUGUAAAGCUCUAUCAGCAGGGAAGAAAGUGACGGUACCUGACUAAGAAGCCCCGGCUAACUACGUGCCAGCAGCCGCGGUAAUACGUAGGGGGCAAGCGUUAUCCGGAUUUACUGGGUGUAAAGGGAGCGUAGACGGCACAGCAAGUCUGAAGUGAAAUCCCCGGGCUCAACCCGGGAACUGCUUUGGAAACUGUUGGGCUGGAGUGCUGGAGAGGCAAGCGGAAUUCCUAGUGUAGCGGUGAAAUGCGUAGAUAUUAGGAGGAACACCAGUGGCGAAGGCGGCUUGCUGGACAGUAACUGACGUUGAGGCUCGAAAGCGUGGGGAGCAAACAGGAUUAGAUACCCUGGUAGUCCACGCCGUAAACGAUGCAUACUAGGUGUCGGGGAGCAAAGCUUUCCGGUGCCGCCGCAAACGCAGUAAGUAUGCCACCU